rnacentral:rRNA from 1 species
UACGUAGGUGACAAGCGUUGUCCGGAUUUACUGGGCGUAAAGAGCGCGCAGGCGGUCGAUCAAGUCGAGUGUGAAAGCCCCCGGCUCAACUGGGGAGGGUCAUUCGAUACUGAUCGACUCGAAGGCAGGAGAGGGUAGUGGAAUUCCCGGUGUAGUGGUGAAAUUCGUAGAUAUUCGCAAGAACACCAGUGGCGAAGGCGGCUUACUGGUCCGGUUCUGACGCUGAGGCGCGAAAGCGUGGGGAGCAAACAGG